rnacentral:sRNA from 1 species
GAUAUACAUAUCAACUCUAUAGAUCUAGAUAAUCCUAUCAAGGUGCCAGGUGCAAGAAAACAAGGAAGACUGGAGAUAAAAUUAUUGAAUGACAUAAGAUGUGGUUUGCAAUAUCAUUCACAAGGCUGAGAACAGCAUAGUGCUAACACAGAUGGUAGGAUGUGAAAGCCUUUGGGCCCUACAGUUCAGCCACCCCUUAUUCCUACCCUAGGAUUAUAUAUAGAACAAAGGAAAAAUAAAACCAUGCAGUCUAUUGGGCAGAUGAUGUUGAGCCCAUCUG